rnacentral:rRNA from 3 species
UACGGAGGAUACGAGCGUUAUCCGGAAUUAUUGGGUUUAAAGGGUGCGUAGGUGGCGUAUUAAGUCAGUGGUGAAAAGCUGCAGCUCAACUGUAGUCUUGCCGUUGAAACUGAUAUGCUAGAGAGGAGACGAGGUAUGCGGAAUGUGUGGUGUAGCGGUGAAAUGCAUAGAUAUCACACAGAACGCCGAUUGCGAAGGCAGCGUACCAGGCUCCGUCUGACACUGAAGCACGAAAGCGUGGGGAUCAAACAGG